rnacentral:rRNA from 1 species
UACAGAGGUCUCAAGCGUUGUUCGGAAUCACUGGGCGUAAAGCGUGCGUAGGCUGUUUCGUAAGUCGUGUGUGAAAGGCGCGGGCUCAACCCCAUCCAGCCGUUGAAACUGGGGAUCUAGAGUGUGCGAGAGGUAUGCGGAAUGCGUGGUGUAGCGGUGAAAUGCAUAGAUAUCACGCAGAACCCCGAUUGCGAAGGCAGCAUACCGGUGCACAACUGACGCUCAGGCACGAAAGCGUGGGUAUCGAACAGG